GGGGGGGGGGGUGCAAAAAUGACGUUUAUCCUAAUUCUAACCAACUUAUGUUAAGGAAUUCAGUUGCGUAUCACUAGUUGACAAUAGCGGAACAGCCAAUAUUAAAUAUUCUGAAUUUUUAAAUGUUUUGAGAAUCUAAAAAUUUUCCAGAAUGUUUUCUCAGAAUGCUGGAAAUGCCAUUUUAAAAAUUUUCACACCCAAAUUUUAAAACACACCCAAAUUUUAAAAAUUUUCUGGGGGAGUAUGCCCCCGGACCACCCUAGAAAUCUCGCGCCUUUGGCGCUCGUUUCGCCAUUGGUUAGCACCCCCCCCCCCAAAAAAAAAAAAAAAAAAAAAAA
rnacentral:lncRNA from 1 species